GGGAGUUCUGAGCUGCAAGAGCCCAGCUACUCGCCGAACCCGGGCCGCCUGCGUUCAAUCUUUGGGAUCAUCAGCAUGGAAUCUUCAUUAUCCCCUCUCUCCUGGGCACCUGCUUCCCGCGCACCUGGAUGAGGACCAGAGGAAUUCGCGAAUUUCCGAAUCACCGCAGGAAAAACCAGCUGGCCUGAAUCAAAGCAAUUCUGGGUAAAAGACUUCCCAGAUGAUCUCUCAACGCCUUGGCAACGCUUGGCGACUGGGAGCUAGAACCAUGAGUUGUUAAUGUGUGCACGGAAGCCACAAGUGUGCAGGACGCAAGCUGGGUUAUUGGAAGCGGACGACACCAAGGAGGCGUUGCCGCGGAUGUGGUGGACGAUGCCAAGUCGUCUUUUAAAAAAGGAAGUGAAGAAUGAUUAAGAGGGUCACGCCCUCUACCACUCCAACCUCUCUAAUCAGUCUCUUUCUGCUCCGUCUGCUGUACAUGCACCUGCUCAGGUGAGACCUCAAGGAAAAAUAAUCCUGUGGGUCCACCUAAUCUGGAACAAAGUAAAAGAGCAUCCAUCAAUACUUUGCACAAAAGGAAAUCCGUCUUCCUUUUAUCACAAUCACCAUAAAUCCAGACAACCACAGUUGCUAACAGUAUGAGUUCUGCAGUUAUACAGAACUAAGUCCAUUAGCUGUGUGACCCAUGGCCAAAUAUUUUCCUUCUCUGUGCCUGCAUUUCUUCAUCUGCAAACUGGAAUAAUGAUAGCAACUACUUCAGAGGACUAUGCUAGAGUGCAAUGGCGCAAUCUUGGCUCACUGCAACCUCCACUUCCCAGGUUCAAGUGAUUCUCCUGCCUCAGUCUCCUGAGUAGCUGAUAUUACAGGUGCCUGCCACUACACCCAGGUAACUUUUUUUAUUUUUAGUAGAGAU
rnacentral:lncRNA from 1 species